rnacentral:rRNA from 1 species
AGCACGGGAGCAAUCCUGGUGGCGAGUGGCGAACGGGUGAGUAAUACAUCGGAACGUGCCCUGUCGUGGGGGAUAACUAGUCGAAAGAUUAGCUAAUACCGCAUACGACCUGAGGGUGAAAGCGGGGGACCGUAAGGCCUCGCGCGAUAGGAGCGGCCGAUGUCUGAUUAGCUAGUUGGUGGGGUAAAGGCCCACCAAGGCGACGAUCAGUAGCUGGUCUGAGAGGACGAUCAGCCACACUGGGACUGAGACACGGCCCAGACUCCUACGGGAGGCAGCAGUGGGGAAUUUUGGACAAUGGGGGCAACCCUGAUCCAGCAAUGCCGCGUGUGUGAAGAAGGCCUUCGGGUUGUAAAGCACUUUUGUCCGGAAAGAAAUCCCUUGCCCUAAUACGGCGGGGGGAUGACGGUACCGGAAGAAUAAGCACCGGCUAACUACGUGCCAGCAGCCGCGGUAAUACGUAGGGUGCGAGCGUUAAUCGGAAUUACUGGGCGUAAAGCGUGCGCAGG